GAACUCCCAAAACGUCAAAAACAUCAAAAAUACCCACUCUGUCGCAGGAAAUUCGCUGAGCGCACACCCUGUGGUGCGCUGUGCGAAUUUCUUCUGCCAGUAGCCCUUCGCAGAGCGCACAGAGUGCGCUGUGCGACUCUGCAUAAUCUGCAGAGCGAAUUUCUGCAGAUUUUAGGAACUCACCCACCCAAAACUCACUCUAAGCUAUUUGGUGAAUUUCUAACACUCCAAAUUCUCAGUAUAGGUUGAAUUAAACUUGUUUAGAUGAUUAUAACCGUUCCUAACAUCGUUCUCUAGUGUUUAGACAUUGUCAUCAAAUCUAAAAACUCAAUUUCCUUCUCCUGGAAGCCUAAGUUCAAUUCUACCAUUUUUCACAGUUUUAGAUUCUGGAAAUGGCUCAAAUAAGUUCUAAUUGACAUGCUUACUCGAUCCCCACUGCCCAGAACAACCUCCAUCUAAGUUUGCUAAAUUUGACCAUCUCACUUCCUCUCAAUUACCCUUAAAACCAGUAUUAACUCAAUUUCACCAACCUAUAUGCUCAAUUUUAAUUCUACAAGUGAGAAACUGUUUUUACCACUUUUAAGGCUCCUAACAAGUCACAUUUGACUUAUCUAAAGGGUCUAGAAUGACCAAAACCACCUGGGAGCCCCAAUUCAAAAUCUGACUACCCGAUUUCC
rnacentral:lncRNA from 1 species